GACGGGGGGGGGUGCUAUACAUGCAAGUCGAACGCUUUGUGGUUCAACUGAUUUGAAGAGCUUGCUCAGAUAUGACGAUGGACAUUGCAAAGAGUGGCGAACGGGUGAGUAACACGUGGGAAACCUACCUCUUAGCAGGGGAUAACAUUUGGAAACAGAUGCUAAUACCGUAUAACAAUGACAACCGCAUGGUUGUUAUUUAAAAGAUGGUUCUGCUAUCACUAAGAGAUGGUCCCGCGGUGCAUUAGCUAGUUGGUAAGGUAAUGGCUUACCAAGGCGAUGAUGCAUAGCCGAGUUGAGAGACUGAUCGGCCACAAUGGGACUGAGACACGGCCCAUACUCCUACGGGAGGCAGCAGUAGGGAAUCUUCCACAAUGGGCGAAAGCCUGAUGGAGCAACGCCGCGUGUGUGAUGAAGGGUUUCGGCUCGUAAAACACUGUUGUAAGAGAAGAAUGACAUUGAGAGUAACUGUUCAAUGUGUGACGGUAUCUUACCAGAAAGGAACGGCUAAAUACGUGCCAGCAGCCGCGGUAAUACGUAUGUUCCAAGCGUUAUCCGGAUUUAUUGGGCGUAAAGCGAGCGCAGACGGUUAUUUAAGUCUGAAGUGAAAGCCCUCAGCUCAACUGAGGAAUUGCUUUGGAAACUGGAUGACUUGAGUGCAGUAGAGGAAAGUGGAACUCCAUGUGUAGCGGUGAAAUGCGUAGAUAUAUGGAAGAACACCAGUGGCGAAGGCGGCUUUCUGGACUGUAACUGACGUUGAGGCUCGAAAGUGUGGGUAGCAAACAGGAUUAGAUACCCUGGUAGUCCACACCGUAAACGAUGAGUGCUAGGUGUUUGAGGGUUUCCGCCCUUAAGUGCCGCAGCUAACGCAUUAAGCACUCCGCCUGGGGAGUACGACCGCAAGGUUGAAACUCAAAGGAAUUGACGGGGACCCGCACAAGCGGUGGAGCAUGUGGUUUAAUUCGAAGCAACGCGAAGAACCUUACCAGGUCUUGACAUCCCUUGACAACUCCAGAGAUGGAGCGUUCCCUUCGGGGACAAGGUGACAGGUGGUGCAUGGUUGUCGUCAGCUCGUGUCGUGAGAUGUUGGGUUAAGUCCCGCAACGAGCGCAACCCUUAUUACUAGUUGCCAGCAUUCAGUUGGGCACUCUAGUGAGACUGCCGGUGACAAACCGGAGGAAGGUGGGGAUGACGUCAAAUCAUCAUGCCCCUUAUGACCUGGGCUACACACGUGCUACAAUGGCGUAUACAACGAGUUGCCAACCCGCGAGGGUGAGCUAAUCUCUUAAAGUACGUCUCAGUUCGGAUUGUAGGCUGCAACUCGCCUACAUGAAGUCGGAAUCGCUAGUAAUCGCGGAUCAGCACGCCGCGGUGAAUACGUUCCCGGGUCUUGUACACACCGCCCGUCACACCAUGAGAGUUUGUAACACCCAAAGCCGGUGGGGUAACCUUCGGGAGCCAGCCGUCUAAGGGACAGAAU
rnacentral:rRNA from 1 species